rnacentral:tRNA from 1 species
GGGAAUGUAGCUUAGUGGUAGAGUGCUUGCCUAAUAUGCAUAAAGCCCUGGGUUCAAUUCCUUAAUACCA